ensembl:lncRNA
UAUUAUACUUCCCAUCUAGAAGUGGUACCACAGCCCAAACCGUAAAUGGUGCACACGCGCCAAUUGCAUCACUAGAUCCAGGUCCGUGAACACUACGCAGACGACAAAAUCCAGACAUGCCGGCCACUAGGUGGCGCUAUACCAAGGAAUACGCGUUUGGGGCUAUAACUCCCACACCGAACCUCCCACAGUCAAAAACUUGUACGCACAUAUUCACUGGAGUUUGCUGCAUCUUUUGGCAUAGGCCACGCCCAUUUGCGUUGUUUGAAACGCACAUUUCUUGUCGCGUUGUGCUGGCGAAAUGCACACUUCUUGGAGCCCUGCAUAACUGCUUGCAGUUCUAGUUAGGGGUCCAAGCCAAC